AUGACUGCUAUUUGGGUGAGGAUAAACCAUGCGAGUUGAAUGGGAUACCUAAAUAUCCCAUAGCAAACUGCUCAGUAACACAUGAUCAACUUACCCUAUGGAGAAAAAUAACCUCGGGAAACUGAGGAUAAUGUUUCAUAGUUGAAUAGGCUUGGAAAGGUUUUUCAAUGAAAGGGAUAAGAAAAAUGGUUCUUAUUUGCUAUAGGAUAGGAUCGUGGACGAUUAUGGUUGUUGGUGAGGUAACGGCUCACCAAGCCGAUAAACGAUAGGGGCCGUGAGAGCGGGAGCCCCGAGAUGGGUACUGAGACAACGACCCAGGCCUUACGAGGCGCAGCAGGCGCGGAACCUCCGCAAUACACGAAAGUGUGACGGGGUUACCCAAAGUGUUCAAUUCUGAACUGUGGUAGGUGAGUAAUGUUCCCUACUAGAAAGGAGAGGGCAAGGCUGGUGCCAGGCGCCGCGGUAAAACCAGCUCUUCAAGUGGUCGGGAUAAUUAUUGGGCUUAAAGUGUCCGUAGCCGGUUUAGUAAGUUCCUGGUAAAAUCGGGUAGCUUAACUAUCUGUAUGCUAGGAAUACUGCUAUACUAGAGGGCGGGAGAGGUCUGAGGUACUACAGGGGUAGGGGUGAAAUCUUAUAAUCCUUGUUGGACCACCAGUGGCGAAGGCGUCAGACUGGAACGCGCCUGACGGUGAGGGACGAAAGCCAGGGGAGCGAACCGGAUUAGAUACCCGGGUAGUCCUGGCCGUAAACGAUGCAUACUAGGUGAUGGCACGGCCAUGAGCCGUGUCAGUGCCGUGGGGAAACCGUUAAGUGUGCCGCCUGGGAAGUACGGUCGCAAGGCAAAAAC
rnacentral:rRNA from 1 species